GAUUGUGGAUUGUUGCUCUCGUCGGAAGCUGAAGGUCGUGGUUGUUAUCCUCUGGAUGAUCAUAUUUUAUGCCGGACCUGCAAUGCUAAACGUGUUCAGGCCUUAACUUCUCGAAUGACAACAGAACUGUAGACUGCUCGUGAGAGACACAUGUUUAUUUCUGUGGCUAAACUGGUAGUUUUGUAGUUUUUUUAUAGCUUGUUUCUCUGUACCUGUUAGCAGUGUUGCUCAGGUCUCAUGCUUGAGUUUGUCAGUUGCCAUAAUCAUGAGUAUAUUAAAUGGUUCCUAAGUUGAAAAGUGGAUAUAUUUUUAUAACGAAUUUUGUGACUUGGAGAAUAAGAAAAACAAAUUAUAGUGAAGUUUUGGAGCUGUUUGUAGGUUAUGAAAGCAUGAGAGCUUAUUAUUAAUUUUGUGUAGAAAGUUUAUCUUGUAUCAUAUUCUUUGAGAGGCUUAACUUCAAUAAUCCAGCACCUUCAGAUAAUGCUGUGUUAUGUGUAACAGGUAUUACAAUAACCGGCACCUUCAGAUAAUGCUGUGUUGUGUGUUAACAGGUAUUACAAUAAUUUGGCAACUUCAGAUAAUGCUGUGUUGUGUGUUAACAGGUAUUACAAUAAUUUGGCAACUUCAGAUAAUGCUGUGUUGUGUGUUAACAGGUAUUACAAUAAUUUGGCAACUUCAGAUAAUGCUGUGUUGUGUGUUAACAGGUAUUACAAUAAUUUGGCAACUUCAGAUAAUGCUGUGUUGUGUGUUAACAGGUAUUACAAUAAUUUGGCAACUUCAGAUAGUGCUGUGUUAUGUGUUAACAGGUAUUACAAUAACCCAGCACCUUCCCAAUAAUGCUGUGUUGUGUUAACCCAGCACGUUCAGAAAAUGCUGUCAUGUGUUAACCCAGCACAUUUUUUAAUAGUACAUUAUGCACUACAUGUUUUUAUUUUUAUACAACGGCAGUAUAACUGAAGAAAUAGACAAUUUUGUAUGUUUUAUUAUAUUCAUUGUCAAUUUAUUCUGAUGAAAAACAAAAAUACCAGACAGUAUUUAAUUAGGAUCUAUUUAGUAGAAGGUAUGUUAACUUUAAAGUAUAUUUCACCACUCAAACUAUCGUAUUGUGAAUAAGUAGUGGGAAGUAUUUUACCAAACAUUUUAACAUCUGAAAGGACAUAUUUAUUUCGUUGUCAAUGAAUAUUAUUAUCAUCAACAGUAUUAGUGUUUGAUACAUUAUUACAAAGUCGGUGAAUUUAACUAAAUUUUAACAUCUGAAAGGACAUAUUCAUUUCGUUGUCAAUGAAGUAUUGUUAUCAUCAACAGUAUUAGUGUGUGCUACAUUAUUACAAAGUUGGUGAAUUUAACUAAAUUUAAAGUUACACUCUAAUUAGAUUGUAAUCAUACAAUAUGGGAACAUUUGAAGCUGUAAGAUAUAAAAUAGAACAUUCUAAUGUAUAGGAUACUUUUAAAAAGCCAUAUACUUCAUUGUUGGCACAGUAAACCAAGUUAUAUUUUAAAGGUUUGUUGAAAUGUAAAGAAUUUAAACUGUAGAAAGUGACUUGCUUUUAAAAAAUUAACUUCAGUUAUUAAGUACACUGUUCUGUUGUACAUUUAAAGGUUAAUAUGUUAACAGAUAUUGUCUAGAACAGUUUCUCAGCCGGAUUUGCUAGACGACCCCCGUGUUUGGACUUUGUUCUUCGUGACUUCCCAUUAUUUGUACAAGGAUGAAAAAAUUAUUGAUGUUUCUUGGUGCAGUUUAUCAUAGUUCAUAAUAAAGGUGAUAUGUGCACCUCGAGGACUAAAAAAAAGUGUUGGCUCAGCACAGACAGCUCGUAACUCCCCCUGGAAACCUGCUUGAGACCCCUAAUGGGGUUGCGACUCACAGUUUUUGAAACACUGGUCUUGAAUAUCCUGCUUUGACAAAUUCACGUUAGACAGAAAAUGGCUUUUUAAAAUGCUGAAUAUCAAAGUUGUGAGGACAUAUAUUUAUAAAUUUAAAUGACAAAUUUAAUGCUGUAUUUUUAAGCAUUGCUGCCCUAAAUUACUAUCACAGUGUAACAUCUCAGUGUUAACAGUUAACACUAUACAAAAUAAGUGAAAUACCAAACAAAUACAGAAUAUAUGAAUUAAACUGUAAAAAUACUCAAGCUUUAAAUAUUCAUAACAUAACAGGCAUGUAUGUAACUUUGUCAGAAGUAUAAUACGAUAAGUGAAAUAUUUGACGUAAAUUUAAUUGUCUUAAAUUGUUUCUAAUGUUCACAAGAAAUUUUCACACAUGAAAACUUUUGAAUCAAGAAUUAAUCUUACUGAUGACUACUGUAACAUGAAACAAGAAGUUCUAAGAUAGAAACACUUGUAAGCAUGGAUAUUUCUCUGUACACCUUUCAGUAAAACUAGCAGAAAUAUUUUUUAUGGUGAUUUUAAAGAAACACGUGUAUAAUAAUGUGUUGCCCCCAAGAGUCCCAUAUUAACUGAUUUUAUGAUCAUAGAAACACGUGUUAUGAUCAUAGAAAAUAAUGUGUUGCCCUCAAGAGUCCCAUAUUAACUGAUUUUAUGAUCAUAGAAACACGUGUUAUGAUCAUAGAAAAUAAUGUGUUGC